rnacentral:rRNA from 1 species
CGAGCGAGCUUGCCUAGAUGAUUUUAGUGCUUGCACUAAAUGAAACUAGAUACAAGCGAGCGGCGGACGGGUGAGUAACACGUGGGUAACCUGCCCAAGAGACUGGGAUAACACCUGGAAACAGAUGCUAAUACCGGAUAACAACACUAGACGCAUGUCUAGAGUUUGAAAGAUGGUUCUGCUAUCACUCUUGGAUGGACCUGCGGUGCAUUAGCUAGUUGGUAAGGUAACGGCUUACCAAGGCAAUGAUGCAUAGCCGAGUUGAGAGACUGAUCGGCCACAUUGGGACUGAGACACGGCCCAAACUCCUACGGGAGGCAGCAGUAGGGAAUCUUCCACAAUGGACGAAAGUCUGAUGGAGCAACGCCGCGUGAGUGAAGAAGGGUUUCGGCUCGUAAAGCUCUGUUGGUAGUGAAGAAAGAUAGAGGUAGUAACUGGCCUUUAUUUGACGGUAAUUACUUAGAAAGUCACGGCUAACUACGUGCCAGCAGCCGCGGUAAUACGUAGGUGGCAAGCGUUGUCCGGAUUUAUUGGGCGUAAAGCGAGUGCAGGCGGUUCAAUAAGUCUGAUGUGAAAGCCUUCGGCUCAACCGGAGAAUUGCAUCAGAAACUGUUGAACUUGAGUGCAGAAGAGGAGAGUGGAACUCCAUGUGUAGCGGUGGAAUGCGUAGAUAUAUGGAAGAACACCAGUGGCGAAGGCGGCUCUCUGGUCUGCAACUGACGCUGAGGCUCGAAAGCAUGGGUAGCGAACAGGAUUAGAUACCCUGGUAGUCCAUGCCG